GACGAACGCUGGCGGCGUGCUUAACACAUGCAAGUCGAACGGAAAGGCCCUGCUUUUGUGGGGUGCUCGAGUGGCGAACGGGUGAGUAACACGUGAGUAACCUGCCCUUGACUUUGGGAUAACUUCAGGAAACUGGGGCUAAUACCGGAUAGGAGCUCCUGCUGCAUGGUGGGGGUUGGAAAGUUUCGGCGGUUGGGGAUGGACUCGCGGCUUAUCAGCUUGUUGGUGGGGUAGUGGCUUACCAAGGCUUUGACGGGUAGCCGGCCUGAGAGGGUGACCGGCACAGUGGGACGUGGACUGAGGCCCGGCCCAGACGGGGAGGGGGCGGGGGGGAAGGGUGAAGUGGGGGAGGAGCCAGAUGGCGGCACGGCAGGGCGGGGGAGGAGGGCUUGGGGGUAGAAAACCAAUUCCCCUUUACACGAGGGGAGAGUGACGGUAGGGGGUAAAGAAGCCCCGGCUAACUCCGUG
rnacentral:rRNA from 1 species